GGGUGUAUGGUCUAGUGGUAUGAUUUUCGCUUCGCAUUAACUUGCGGAUAACCUGUGAAAGGUCCCCGGUUCAAUCCCGGGUGCAUCCA